GACGAACGCUGGCGGCGUGCCUAAUACAUGCAAGUAGAACGCACAGUUUAUACCGUAGCUUGCUACACCAUAGACUGUGAGUUGCGAACGGGUGAGUAACGCGUAGGUAACCUGUCUGGUAGCGGGGGAUAACUAUUGGAAACGAUAGCUAAUACCGCAUAAUAUUGAUUAUUGCAUGAUAAUUAAUUGAAAGGUGCAAUUGAAUCACUACCAGAUGGCCCUGCGUUGUAUUAGCUAGUAGGUGAGGUAACGGCUCACCUAGGCGACGAUACAUAGCCGACCUGAGAGGGUGAGCGGCCACACUGGGACUGAGACACGGCCCAGACGCCUACGGGAGGCAGCAGUAGGGAAUCUUCGGCAAUGGACGAAAGUCUGACCGAGCAACGCCGCGUGAGUGAAGAAGGUUUUCGGAUCGUAAAGCUCUGUUGUAAGAGAAGAACGGGUGUGAGAGUGGAAAGUUCACACUGUGACGGUAUCUUACCAGAAAGGGACGGCUAACUACGUG
rnacentral:rRNA from 1 species